AGUGAACGCUGGCGGUAGGCCUAACACAUGCAAGUCGAACGGCAGCACAGUAAGAGCUUGCUCUUACGGGUGGCGAGUGGCGGACGGGUGAGGAAUACAUCGGAAUCUACUUUUUCGUGGGGGAUAACGUAGGGAAACUUACGCUAAUACCGCAUCCGACCUACGGUUGAAAGCAGGGGAUCUUCGGACCUUGCGCGAUUGAAUGAGCCGAUGUCGGAUUAGCUAGUUGGCGGGGUAAAGGCCCACCAAGGCGACGAUCCGUAGCUGGUCUGAGAGGAUGAUCAGCCACACUGGAACUGAGACACGGUCCAGACUCCUAAGGGAGGCAGCAGUGGGGAAUAUUGGACAAUGGGCGCAAGCCUGAUCCAGCCAUACCGCGUGGGUGAAGAAGGCCUUCGGGUUGUAAAGCCCUUUUGUUGGGAAAGAAAAGCAGCAGGUUAAUACCCCGCUGUUCUGACGGUAACCAAAGAAUAAGCACCGGCUAACUUCGUG
rnacentral:rRNA from 1 species